rnacentral:lncRNA from 1 species
CCUGCCUGUCAGCAAAUAAGAAUUAACCAGCCUUGACUCUAGAAGUUGCAGCUGAGUGACCAUCAUUGAAAAUGCAAUUACUCUUUUCCUUUUUUUUUGAGGCUAAAUGUGAGUUGUGGAAGGAACGGUUUGAAAAAAUUUAUGUGUGUGUUCAGGGGGCCCUCACGGACAAGCUGCUUAAGAAAAAUUCCACAAAAAUGCCUGGCGUUGCAGGGAGAGACAGCCAGCCAGACGUAUGACAGAGAAGAUAUUUCUUCUAACCAGUUGAAUUGUAUUGCAUGCUUAAAGCUGUGUCCCAAGUUGUGACUUUUGAUUUUAUUUUUCUUCCUAGAAUGAAAUGUCUUCAGAAGCUUUUCCAGAUGAUUUUAAAUUAUUUAUAAGGCUAUGCAAAGCAGGCAGUGGCUCAGAAUCCAGCUCACCUGAUUCUACUGAUGACUCAGCUCGGAAGGGUGCCUCAUUCUGGAAGGUGAAUCAUGUAAUAACAAUAAGAAGUCCAGACAUUAUUGGAUGGCAGAGUUGGUUCAAUGACUCAAUGAUGUCAGGUCUGACACUUCUGCAAUUCUCUUAGCCUUAUCGUCACAGUCAGAAGAUGACUGCCAUCAAUCCAGCCAUCAUAUCUACCUUCAAGGUAGGAAGAAAAGGAAAGUAGUGCCUUUAGCUUGUAAUUUAAAGAAUAGGUGUAAAACUAUUCUCAGAAGGACC